rnacentral:misc_RNA from 1 species
GAUGAAGAACGUAGCGAAAUGCGAUAAGUAAUGUGAAUUGCAGAAUUCAGUGAAUCAUCGAAUCUUUGAACGCACAUUGCGCCCGCCAGUAUUCUGGCGGGCAUGCCUGUUCGAGCGUCAUUUCAACCCUCAGGCCCCCAGUGCCUGGUGUUGGGGAUCGGCCCAGCCUUCCUGUAAGGCCGCCGGCCCCGAAAUCUAGUGGCGGUCUCGCUGUAGUCCUCCUCUGCGUAGUAGCACAACCUCGCAGUUGGAACGCGGCGGUGGCCAUGCCGUUAAACACCCCACUUCUGAAAGUUGACCUCGGAUCAGGUAGGAAUACCCGCUGAACUUAAGCAUAUCAUAAGCGGAGGA